CAAAGGUUUGGUCCUGACUUUCCUGUCAGCUUUAGCUCAACUUACACAUGCAAGUAUCCGCAUCCCCGUGAGAAUGCCCUGCAGCCUCCUGCCCGGAGACAAGGAGCCGGUAUCAGGCACAAUAUCUGUUAGCCCACGACACCUUGCUCAGCCACACCCUCAAGGGAACUUCAGCAGUGAUUAAUAUUUAGCCAUAAGUGAAAACUUGACUUAGUCAGAGCUAAGAGGGCCGGUAAAAUUCGUGCCAGCCACCGCGGUUAUACGAGAGGCCCAAGUUGACAACCAUCGGCGUAAAGAGUGGUUAAGAUUACCUCUGCCCAUUAAAGUCGAAUAUCUUCAAGGCUGUUAUACGCACCCGAAGACUAGAAGCCCAACUACGAAAGUGACUUUAUCUUAUCUGACCCCACGAAAGCUAGGACACAAACUGGGAUUAGAUACCCCACUAUGCCUAGCCGUAAACAUUGACAGCACUCACACCUGCUGUUCGCCAGGGGAUUACGAGCGCAAGCUUAAAACCCAAAGGACUUGGCGGUGCUUUAGACCCCCCUAGAGGAGCCUGUUCUAGAACCGAUAACCCCCGUUCAACCUCACCCUUUCUUGUUCAUCCCGCCUAUAUACCACCGUCGUCAGCUUACCCUCUGAGGGAAGAAUAGUAAGCACAAUUGGCACAGCCCAAAACGUCAGGUCGAGGUGUAGCGUAUGAAAGGGAAAGAAAUGGGCUACAUUCACCCUUUACGGUGUACCACGAAAGAUGUAAUUGAAACAUUCAUCAGAAGGAGGAUUUAGCAGUAAGCAGGAAGUAGAGCGUUCUGCUGAAACUGGCCCUAAAGCGCGCACACACCGCCCGUCACUCUCCCCGAGCUUCCAAAUUUUGCCCUAAAUAAAACACUACCCGCCGCUAAGGGGAGGCAAGUCGUAACAUGGUAAGUGUACCGGAAGGUGCACUUGGAAAAAU
rnacentral:ncRNA from 1 species